rnacentral:lncRNA from 1 species
UUUUGACCAGAAUCCAAAACCCCCUGUUCCCUGUAUAGUGCACUAACUUUUUUUGAACACCAGAAUCCAAAAACCCUAUUGUUCCCUGUAUAGUGCACUACUUUGGACCAGAAUCCAAAACCCUAUUCCCUGUAAUAGUGCACUAUUUUGACCCAGAAUCCAAAACCCUGUUCCCUGUAUAGUGCACUACUUUUGACCAGAAAUCAAAACCCUGUUCCUGUAUAGUGCACUACUUUUGAGACCAGAAUCCAAAACCCUAAUUUCCGGUAAUAGUGCACUACUUUUGACCAGAAAUCCAAAACCCUAUUCCCUGUAUAGUGCACUACUUUUGACCAGAAUCCAAACCCUAUGCCCUAUAUAGUGUCACUAUACUUUUGACCAGAAUCCAAAACCAAAACCCCAUUCCCUCUGUAUAGUGCACUACUUUGACCAGACAUCCAAAACCCCAUUCCCUGUAUAGUGCACUACUUUUGACCAGAAUCCAAAACCCUAUUCCCUUUUUAUAGUGCACUACUUUUGACCAGAAUCCAAAACCCUAUUCCCUGUAUAGUUCACUAACUUCCUCAGGCAACACUACGCAAUCUGAAUCCCCCCCUCGGCAGGCAACACAAUGCCACUCUGAAUCCCCCCCUCCCGCGGGCAACAACUAGGCAUUCUUUCUGAAAUCUCCCCUCCUCGGGCAACACGAUGAUGCACUCUGAAUCUCCCCCUCCUCGGCGCAACACUAUGCACUCUGAAUCUCCCCCUCCUCGGGCAACACUACGCACUCUGAAUCUCCCCCUCCUCGGGCAACACUACGCACUCUGAGUUCCAUAAUUCCUUGCCUUAUUUUGGAACACAUGUCAGUGGCCCAGCCCUGAAAGUGUACUGUUUAAACUGUAGCACCCCGUGUGUCAGUCUGAAAUACUCCAAUAGUUACAGUUGUACUGGUUGUUCCCUGCAUGUUACAGACAGUUAUCUAAUCACACACAGAACUACUAGUACAAGCACAAACCUCCGUCUAGUCACACAACCAGAAACUACUAGUACAAAGCACAAACCUCCAACGUCUAGCCACACACCAGAAACCACUAGUACAGCACAAACCUCCGUCUAG